AUCGCUUCUCAGCCUUUUGGCUAAGAUCAAAUGUAGUGUCUGUUCUUAUCAGUUUAAUAUCUGAUACAUUGUUUAUCCGAUGACAAUAUAUUAAAUGGAUUUCUGGCACUAGGAAAUGGAAUAGGAGCUUGUUCCAUCUAUUCUACACAUCGACCUGGUAUUGCAGUACCUCCAGGAAUGGUGCACUCAAA